rnacentral:lncRNA from 1 species
GCGUACCUUCCUCAUGUGCCCACUCUGCCAUACCUGUGCCGUAUGGAAUAAUUCCAAGAUCUGCCCCAUGGCAAGGUGAGACAGGGACAAGAGCAAGGGAAUGGGUAGGUGUUUGGGACACCUGGGUCUGGCUGUGGGGAGGCAGUGCUGGCCCUGCAGUAUGUCCCCUCGCCCUUUCUUGCAGUUGGGCUACUUCUCUGUCUGGGGACUGUGUUCUUCAGCAUCUUUAUGUCCUUGUGGGCCACGGCCUUCCUGGAGCACCGGAAGUGCAAGAGCAUCACCCUUGUCCACCACUGGGACCGCAGUGACUUCCAGGAAGAGGAGCCAAUAGAACUCUGACCAUCUCUACCUUUUGCCCAGAGAUGCACAGAACCCAGACCUUCCACGAAGACCUUCACUUUCAGAGUCUUCUUCUUUGAGUUUGUCGAUUUUCUACUUUUCCUUCUACAUGGCAUUCUUCCAAGGCAGGGGAGGACCCCCUACCCCACCCGGGGCUGUUGCCUCCCAACAAAGUGGGCCGACAGAGUGGCAUCAUCCUUGAACCUCCAGAUUUGUUUCUACCAAGGUCUUGCCGUUGACCUUGAAAUUGGUCCUCGAUUUCCCUGGGCUUCAGUUUCCUCAACUGUAAUGUGCUAACACAUCACUGGGUCAAUAUGAAACUUCAACACCUGCAUUCAUCAUUCACUCAGCCCUCAAGGUGGCCCAGGUCUGACACCCCACUUCUCAGCGCUGCCGUUUGGGUUCAUUGCCAUCUGUGUGGCGGGUUUCCUGCUGGCACCCCUCUUUGCUGUGCUCAACAACUGGGUGGAGAUCCGACUUGGACGCCCGCAAGUUCGCUCAUGCGGUGUUCUCCGUGCACCUCCUCGCCUGGCUCGUGCCCGACGUGCCAGCCGCCCUGGUUGCCAAGGUAAAGCGCGAAGCGCUAUCCGGCCGAGCAGGAGCCUGCGGACGACCGGGAGUCGCUGCUUUCGGUCCGCUCUGCUAACGGAUCCUGGCUCCUCCCCCUCUGAGCCUGCCCUCCCCUCGACCCGCCCUCAGACCUUAGCUCCGCCCCCUCUUGCUCCGCCCUCUGGUUUGGCCUCUCCUGGAGAGAGAAUUGGCCGGGAGUCCCUACGGUUUCUGCCUGGCCCCGCCCCUCACCAAACCCCGCCCACGCCACGCCCCUUCUAUUACAUUCUCCCCACCUGCGUCCCCUCUGCUCUCGAAGGCCCGCCUAUUCACCCUGACCAAGCCACCAUGCUUUCUGUCCUGUGCAGCAGGGGCUCUGUCCCCAGAGCCCAGGACCAGGGGCGAGUGGGGAGGGGACUUCCAAAAACCUGGAUUCCCCAGAUGCUUCCUUCCAUUUGGGGUCCUCUGCUUCCGGCUGGGGUCUUGGGCAGUACCUUGGCCAGCGGCCCCAAGUUUGGCCUGGGAGAGCUCUAGGGAGACCGUUAGUCCUGCAUUGCCUUCCUCUCCCUGUCCCCGUCUCCUGCUCUGUGUGCAAUGCGGGCAAUAAACCUCUCUCUGCCCCCCA